GACGAACGCUGGCGGCGUGCCUAACACAUGCAAGUCGAGCGGGGGACUUCGGUCCCCAGCGGCGGACGGGUGAGUAACACGUGGGUAACCUGCCUCAUAGAGGGGGAUAGCCUCCCGAAAGGGAGAUUAAUACCGCAUAACACUGCGAAAUCACAUGAUAUUGCAGUUAAAGGAGCAAUCCGCUAUGAGAUGGACCCGCGGCGCAUUAGCUAGUUGGUGAGGUAACGGCUCACCAAGGCCACGAUGCGUAGCCGACCUGAGAGGGUGAUCGGCCACAUUGGAACUGAGACACGGUCCAGACUCCUACGGGAGGCAGCAGUGGGGAAUAUUGCACAAUGGGCGAAAGCCUGAUGCAGCAACGCCGCGUGGAGGAUGAAGGCCUUCGGGUUGUAAACUCUUGUCUUCUGGGACGAUAAUGACGGUACCAGAGGAGGAAGCCACGGCUAACUACGUGC
rnacentral:rRNA from 1 species